AAAGACAUAGUAAAAUUUUAUUUUAUGUAUCUGCCCAAUGAGAAUUUUUGUAUGGCAAAAAAGUAGCGUAAUAAUUAGUUUAUUAAUUGUAAACCGGAAUGAAGACAGCAUUUUUCUUGACUUUUUUCUUACAUUCGUUGAAAUUUAGGGAUUAGUUAAAACGCUAAUAAAAUUCUUAAAGACGAUAAGACCCUAAGGCCUUAAUUAUAUUUUACUGGGAUAGUUUUACAAUAGUAAUAAUAAAUUUUUAGUAAACCUGAACCAGAUUACUGCUAGUAAAGGCACCUUAGGGAUAACAGCGCAACGCAUUUUUAAAGCUCUUAUUAAAAUUAUGCUAGUGACCUCGAUGUUGAAUUAAGUGUGUAAAGGCUGUAGAAGGUCUUUAUUUAAGUCUGUUCGACUUUUUUACUUACAUGAUUUGAGUUAAAAUCGACGUAAGCCAGAUGGGUUUUCUAAU
rnacentral:rRNA from 1 species